rnacentral:rRNA from 1 species
GUUGAACGCUGGCGGCAUGCUUUACACAUGCAAGUCGAACGGUAAUAGGCCUUCGGGUGCUGACGAGUGGCGAACGGGUGAGUAAUGCAUCGGAACGUACCCAGAGGUGGGGGAUAACGCAGCGAAAGCUGUGCUAAUACCGCAUGUGAUCUGAGGAUGAAAGCGGGGGACCGAGCAGCAAUGUUUGGCCUCGCGCCUUUGGAGCGGCCGAUGUCGGAUUAGCUAGUUGGUGGGGUAAAGGCCUACCAAGGCGACGAUCCGUAGCUGGUCUGAGAGGACGACCAGCCACACUGGGACUGAGACACGGCCCAGACUCCUACGGGAGGCAGCAGUGGGGAAUUUUGGACAAUGGGCGCAAGCCUGAUCCAGCAAUGCCGCGUGCGGGAAGAAGGCCUUCGGGUUGUAAACCGCUUUUGGCAGGAACGAAACGGUGUCCGCUAAUACCGGGCGCUAAUGACGGUACCUGCAGAAUAAGCACCGGCUAACUACGUG